UGGUUUGUGUGUCUACAUGUGAGCUGGGUAUGGUCUCCUGGUCAUUCCUGCCUACUCACCUGCACAGCUGAGUCUUGUCACCUAAUCAACUCCACCUGCUUCCUGAGUUCCAGUAUUCACUCUCCAAGAUCUGCUCCACACCAGGCUCUGCCAGCAACUCAUUCCCUAAAGAUUUCCCUGUGGAGUCAAUGCUUCAUCUCCUGAAAACUGAACUCUCUAACCAUUUCCUGCUCUCCCUGGAAGAUUCACACAGCUCAGUCCCAGACUGUUAAAUCAGCAGUCUCAGACCUCGUACAGACUCCAAGUGUCUCCUUCAGAUAAGAACUGUUGUAAGUUACACUUUUUGUGAAUAAAAAAACUGUUCAAUUUUAA